rnacentral:rRNA from 1 species
GACGAACGCUGGCGGCGUGCCUAAUACAUGCAAGUAGAACGCUGAAGAGAGGAGCUUGCUCUUCUUGGAUGAGUUGCGAACGGGUGAGUAACGCGUAGGUAACCUGCCUGGUAGCGGGGGAUAACUAUUGGAAACGAUAGCUAAUACCGCAUAAAAUGGAUUAUCGCAUGAUAAUCCAUUGAAAGGUGCAAAUGCAUCACUACCAGAUGGACCUGCGUUGUAUUAGCUAGUUGGUGGGGUAACGGCUCACCAAGGCGACGAUACAUAGCCGACCUGAGAGGGUGAUCGGCCACACUGGGACUGAGAAACGGCCCAGACUCCUACGGGAGGCAGCAGUAGGGAAUCUUCGGCAAUGGACGGAAGUCUGACCGAGCAACGCCGCGUGAGUGAAGAAGGUUUUCGGAUCGUAAAGCUCUGUUGUAAGAGAAGAACGAGUGUGAGAGUGGAAAGUUCACACUGUGACGGUAUCUUACCAGAAAGGGACGGCUAACUACGUG